rnacentral:hammerhead_ribozyme from 1 species
AUCAUCUGACGAACCUCAAAUAGGACGAAACGUGCGUCAUUGAU